GACGAACCGGACGAACGUUAUUCGGAAUUACUGGGCUUAAAGAGUACGUAGGCGGCCUUGUAGGUUGGGUGUGAAAUCCCGCAGCUCAACUGCGGAACUGCGCCCAAAACCCCAAGGCUUGAGGGAAGCAGAGGUAAGCGGAACUGAUGGUGGAGCGGUGAAAUGCGUUGAUAUCAUCAGGAACACCAGUGGCGAAGGCGGCUUACUGGGCUUCUACUGACGCUGAGGUACGAAAGCUAGGGUAGCGAACGGG
rnacentral:rRNA from 1 species